rnacentral:rRNA from 1 species
UACGUAGGGUGCGAGCGUUGUCCGGAAUUACUGGGCGUAAAGCGCACGUAGGCGGCUUCUUAAGUCGGUGGUGAAAUCCUGGAGCUCAACUCCAGAACUGCCUUCGAUACUGGGAAGCUCGAGUCCGGGAGAGGUGAGUGGAACUGCGAGUGUAGAGGUGAAAUUCGUAGAUAUUCGCAAGAACACCAGUGGCGAAGGCGGCUCACUGGCCCGGUACUGACGCUGAGGUGCGAAAGCGUGGGGAGCAAACAGG